AUUGAACGCUGGCGGCAUGCUUUACACAUGCAAGUCGAACGGUAACAGGGUGCUUGCACCGCUGACGAGUGGCGAACGGGUGAGUAAUACAUCGGAAUGUACCCAGUAAUGGGGGAUAACGCUUCGAAAGGAGUGCUAAUACCGCAUACGCCCUGAGGGGGAAAGUGGGGGACCGCAAGGCCUCACGUUAUUGGAGCAGCCGAUGGCUGAUUAGCUAGUUGGUGAGGUAAAGGCUCACCAAGGCGACGAUCAGGAGCGGGUCUUAGAGGACGAUCCGCCACCCCGGAACUGAGACAGGGUCAAGACGCCUACGGGAAGCAGCAGUGGGGAAUCUUGGACAAUGGGCGAAAGCCUGAUCCAGCAAUGCCGCGUGCGUGAAGAAGGCCUUCGGGUUGUAAAGCGCUUUUGUCUGGGAGCAAAUCCUGGCCUCUAAUACAGGUCGGGGAUGAGAGUACCAGAAGAAUAAGGACCGGCUAACUACGUGCCAGCCGCCGCAGUAAUAC
rnacentral:rRNA from 1 species